UACAGGGGGUGCAAGCGUUAUUCGGAAUUAUUGGGCGUAAAGAGCGUGUAGGUGGUUUGCUAAGUCUGGUGUGAAAUCCCUGGGCUCAAUCCAGGAAGUGCAUUGGAUACUGGCAGACUAGAGUGCAGGAGAGGAGAGCGGAAUUCCAGGUGUAGAGGUGAAAUUCGUAGAUAUCUGGAGGAACAACAGUGGCGAAGGCGGCUCUCUGGACUGUUACUGACACUAAGGCGCGAAAGCGUGGGGAGCAAACAGG
rnacentral:rRNA from 1 species